rnacentral:lncRNA from 10 species
CGUGAGCCACCACUCAUGGCCUUUAUUUGAAGUUUUGAAUUCAGCUAGGCUGAAGCAUUGUGGACUUGCUGACUACUAACAAUAUUCCAAAUCAAACAGUAAUUAUAUACAGGAGUGGAGUUGCCUCAGCCUGAGUUCUCCAGAAAGAAUUGCCUGGGACAAGUAUAUAAGGACAGGUGGAGUAUUUUGCGAAUUUAUCCCCAGAAUUAGGAUUGGAGAUUGGGAAAAAAGAACCAAGAAAGAGAGAAAAUUAACACAAGGGUACAUUCCCAAGUUGUUUAAAGCAGGGCAAUGUGAUCUUGAUUUUACAAGGACCUCCUAAAGAACACUAAGGUGUAUAUAUAUAUGCUCAGAAUCGUCUGUCCAAAGGACGAAAAAGGGGAAUAUUCAUCCACCAGCUCUUAUCUCCAUCAAUCCAGAUGUUUCUCCAGAAUGUGUUAACUCCCUUAUAUUUCUAGAUUUCCCAAGCUUAGUUGCAAGAUGGAUUUUACCGAAGUGACUCAUGCCAAAAAGUGGAGACAUGAGGUGUGUUACAUAUGAGGUGUGUUACAUAUGAGGUACUAUUAUCUUAUACCUUCACAAAUUAUUUGCUAAAACGAUAGCUGGACUAAAAGUGGAGAGUAUAUGAAACAUGGCGAAAGAGGUGGAACAGUGUAAAGUUGAAACUUUACAAUGUAGAAUUGACUGAAGAAAAAUGUGGGUCUUUCUUCCUUAGCUAGGAAAGUGACUGUCUUUGUAUGGAUGUAAAACAGUUGUUUGAAAUGCAUCCUAUUUACCUUAGGAUUUAAACUGUAAAUUACAAAGUCAAGAAACAGAAAAAUAUGUGUGUUGUGUAAGUUUAUUUCUGUGACCCUCACUAAAGUCAUAUUUCCAUUGUAUUUAAAACAGGACUACAUAGAAGCAUAAAAGAAGGCAAAACACCACUUUGUCAAGAAAAGCUCUUUUUUUCCUGAGAACAGAAGUCUAAACUGAUUUACAGAAGAAACUAUGUUUUAGUAUCAAAGAGGAAAACCAGCUGAUCUGAAUGUAUCCCAUGUAAGUGAUUUAUCAAUCCCACUUAUCAAAUAUAAGUGAUUUGUUUGAAUAAAUCUAUGGCAGAACUAUAAUUAUAACCCUCUUCUUGAAGCAAUGAUCUUCCUUGCCCCAUUGCACAUUUCCCUGAGCCUUGCAUAGCUUGAAAUGGAGAAGACAUUUAUUUACUUAUUUGGAUGUGUGAAUAUGAUUUUGAGAAAAGCAACAGAUUCAGAAUUUCAAUUUUUUUCUGUCUCUGUCUUCAAUCCUUUAUAAGUCCUCAGUUUUUAGUUUAUUGUUAAA